UUCCAAUUUUUCUUUUACGCCUUUUCAAACUUUUUAAAAGUCUUUUCUCUAUAAGGGUAGGGGUGAUGAAAUGCAGUAUCGUCGAGCUCGUAUGAUUGAAAAUGAUGAAAAUCAAUCUAAUGAAAUGAGACAAUAUGUAGAGGAAGUCGCUCGUAUUUCAAUGGAGUCAAUGAAUGCGGCCUUCCAGAAAACGCGAUUGAGCUUUGAUCCUGAUUACAAUCCUCCCACUCAACACAAUAAACCAUCACCAGUACAAGUAUCUCGCCGAUCACGACAAACAACAUCGAGAGAAGGUGCACGUCGUGGUAGAAGGGGCGCUGGUGAAAAAGUUGAUUUUUCUGCAGAGCCCUCUAACACUAAUGUGGCGACUCCCGAGCCUCAUUUUCUGCACGGCCCUUUGACACUAUUGUUAAUUUUUCUAGUCAGGAAUCAGUUGGUUUUGUAACUCCACAUGUUUCAAUAUCUGGUUUUGCGCAAUUUAGUGUAUCUCAAUAUGGUAUUCAGCAUGGUAUGCGUGAAUUUCGUAUACAUAAUUCUCCAUUUGGUGGGAGGUUGAAUUUUUCUAAUGUAACUGUGUGCGAUGAUUCAAGAUUUGAUGCUAAAGCUUUACAAAAUUUAAUUUUUAAUAGAGAAGAUUCACCUCGGAGAACAUUUAGGCUACAAAAAUAAACUAGAUGUGGAACAGACAGUAACUAUCAAUAUGAGGAAGAUUUUGAAAAUGAAGACGAAAAUAAAGAGGUAGAAGAUUCAGAUUCAGAAGAAUAAUUUUUAUGCACCUUUAUUAUAAAAGGCUGAAAGUUCUAUGAUGUAAAUUAGAUUUUUAUGUAUGUUGAAGUUUGUUGUUUCGUGUAAAUUUGAA